GACGAACGCUGACGGCGUGCUUAACACAUGCAAGUCGAAGGGAGUGGCGAACGGGAGAGUAACACGUGAGUAACCUGCCCUUUUCUUUGGGAUUAGCCUGGGAAACUGGGUCUAAUACUGGAUGGAUUGGGAUGGGCUCGCGGCUUAUCAGAGUGUUGGAGGGGUGAUGGGUUACCAAGGCGUUGCCGGGUAGCCGGCCUGAGCGGGUGGUCGGUCACACUGGGACUGAGAUACGGCCCAGGCUCGUCCGGGAGGCAGCAGUGGGGGAUAUUGCACAAUGGACGAAGGUCUGAUGCAGCGACGUCGUGUGGGGGAUGAAGGCCUUCGGGUUGUAAACUCCUUUCGCCCGCGGAAUGGUAGUGGGUAAAGAAGCGCCGGCUAACUACGUGCCAGCCGCCGCGGUAAUAC
rnacentral:rRNA from 1 species